UGGGGAAUAUUGGACAAUGGGGGGCACCCUGAUCCAGCCAUGCCGCGUGUGUGAAGAAGGCCUUAUGGUUGUAAAGCACUUUAAGCGAGGAGGAGGGUACUGGUAUUAAUACUACCAGGUACUGGACGUUACUCGCAGAAUAAGCACCGGCUAACUCUGUGCCAGCAGCCGCGGUAAUACAGAGGGUGCGAGCGUUAAUCGGAUUUACUGGGCGUAAAGCGUGCGUAGGCGGCUAAUUGAGUCGGAUGUGAAAUCCCCGAGCUUAACUUGGGAAGUGCAUUCGAUACUGGUUAGCUAGAGGGUGGGAGAGGAGGGUAGAAUUACAGGUGUAGCGGUGAAAUGCGUAGAGAUCUGGAGGAAUACCGAUGGCGAAGGAAGCCAUCUGGCCGAACGAUGACGCUGAGGUACGAAAGCAUGGGGAGCAAACAGG
rnacentral:rRNA from 1 species